rnacentral:rRNA from 1 species
UGGGGAAUAUUGCACAAUGGGCGCAAGCCUGAUGCAGCGACGCCGCGUGGAGGAUGAAGGCUUUCGAGUUGUAAACUCCUGUUAAGUGGGAAGAAAGACUGUUGACUAAUAAUCAGCAGGGAUGACGGUACCACUAGAGAAAGCACCGGCAAACUUCGUGCCAGCAGCCGCGGUAAUACGAAGGGUGCAAGCGUUAUUCGGAGUUACUGGGCGUAAAGAGUAUGUAGGCGGUUUGUUAAGUUAGUUGUUAAAUACCAUGGCUCAACUGUGGAAAGGCAGCUAAUACUGAUGAGCUAGAGCGCAGAAGAGAGGAGUGGAAUUCCCGGAGUAGCGGUAAAAUGCGUAGAUCUCGGGAGGAACACCGGUUGCGAAGGCGGCUCCUUGGUCUGUGGCUGACGCUAAAGUACGAAAGCGUGGGGAGCAAACA